GAUCUCGAAUCCGCUGCCGAUCGGAGGCAUCGGGAAAUACCCGGGUUGUGUUUGUUACAACGCGCUGAUGCGCGCAAAGGUGUCGCGAUUACCGACCGAGUGCCGCACGCUAUCACGCCCGUGUCCCGUGUCCCGUGUCCCGUUCCUCCGACUCCGACGUGAUGCAUCGUCGAGCAAGCUGGUGCCGGUGCCCCUUCGCCCCCGUGUUUGUCGGCCCCGCGCUCUUGUCCCGAACCCCGUCGUGGUUGUGUGCCCGCCGCUCGCCCGCCCCGUCGACGGACUCAUCGUCAGCGGCGGCCCGAUCACCGUCAUCGUCUUCAUCGUUCUCAUCAUCGCCGUCCCGUCGCCGCUCUCUGUGUUCUCAGUGAUGUACUACGUGUGACCGACGCGGUGGCCCGACCUUACGGUCCCCCGUCGCCGUUUUUGUGCCCGGGGGGAGUCUCUCGGGGGUCCAGCGGCAUCGCCGCGGUGUUUCCAAGAGCCCCGAAAAUAACGGGCCUAUUAAUAGGAGAUAUCUCUCGGCGUGGCGGCCGCUCCGCGUGUUGUGAACUUGAAGAUAGCGAGGAGAGGAGGCCGAGGCGAGCAACCAAGCGGCCGACCGACCGACGUUCGCUACAAGGAGCGCUUUGGUUGCCGUUGCCGUCGGAAGAGGAGGAUUCUCCGGGCAUCUGGGGUCGACACUCGACGUCUCGGAUGGGAACGAGGGCGAGAAGAAGCGAACGAGGAGGCGGCGGCCCGCGAAGGGUAUCGGACAAGUUGCGUCUGGCCGCGUAAAAGGCGAAGGAAGAGAUCGCAGCGGAAGCGGCGACACGAAGAGAAGGCGGCGCAAGAAGAGGAGGAAGAGAGACGUGAGUUUCGGCGAUUCUACGGGCAGGGUUUACGCGGGUGUGCGGGUGCCGCGUGACCGUGCACGUGGACGCGUGCGACAGUUGCAGUGGUGAGACAGUGCGCGGUGCAGUGCGACAGGGCAGAAAGGGGAAGAGGAAGAAGGAGAAGAAGAGGAAGACGGCGUAACGAGCACCCCUCGGUGUAUAGGAAACGCACGUACGGCGUGCGCUCGAGGAAACGAUAGGGGGGGAGGAGGGGGAAGUGCGACGGGAGGUGAAGACAAGAGAUAGGGAGGAAGCAAGACGACUUUUUUCUCCGCGAGCGAGCGCGCGCGCGCACGCUCGGUGACGCCAAGUAUGCUGUGGGGUGACGUCGCGGCGUCGCGGAUUUCACGGAUCGAUCGGCCGAUCGAAUUUUCUAAAUAGGAUACGCGCCGCCCCGCGUGUGUGUUGGUGUACCAUAUGUGUACGGGCGCGCGCGUGUGCGUCGUAACUGCUGCACGGAAGAAGAAUCGUCGCCGUCGACGUCGUCCACGCCCGGCCGAGUCGGGCCGGUGCAGGUGAAUCGACGCGCCGCGCCGCGCCGGUGGAUCGACCGCCGCCCGCCGCGGGAAAACUUGAGAUCCGGUUCGCUUUCCACGGCUGACGUCAUUACCGUUCACAAUGCGCUAGGGGUGAUGGAGACAGUGGGCAAGCAAGUUCAGGUAGUGAGUGGGUUGGGGGUGGGGGGUCCGGUGGGCCCUGUGGGCCCAGUGGGGGGGAGAUCUGCAUCACCAUCAUCAUCCACAUCCGCACGCCCAUCCUCCGCACCCGCACUCCCACCCCCAUGGUCACCCCCAUGGAUCCCACGGCCACUCGCUCGCGACGUCGAACCCCGGCAGAGGUCAGCCUCAACCACCAACUUCGCAUAACCAGCACGUAUCUGCGAGGUCCACUCCCGUACAGCU